UCCGGUGGCAUAUCUUUAUUAAUAAUUGGUUUGAAUUACUUUUACAAAAGUAUUUUCUCAAAAAGCAUGUCUUUUAAUAAUAAAAAAGAUCGUCAACCAUAUAUUUGUAAGAACGAUAGAAAAACAUUAGGAAAAGUCUUGUAAAUUUGAUAAGAAACCUAAAUGUACACAGUAACAAUAUUCUUUGUUUUAUAUCUAACUAAUCUAUAAAAGGAGACUAAAGGCUGACUUCAUUUUGCUUAUGUGUCAGCCUCUCAGCCAUGCCACAUAAGAUCUGAUGAUGUCAUAAAUAUAUCAAUAUUAUGAUGUCAUAAAUAUAUCAAUUAAAAUGUUAAAGAUUAAUAGAUAUUGUAUUAAUUAAAUCUGAAAACCAUCAUCACUAUGAGGGGAAAAGGUUACUGCAUUAAUUGGGGGGGAAAUUCAAAAUUCAAAAUCAACUCUGCCUCCCAUCUUUAAAAAGGCCCCCAAAUAUAUAUUUUCAAUAUCUCUCUCAAAUGCAGACCAUCUUUCAAAAUUCAAAAUUUAAUAACUUUUUCUUUCUCUCCCUCCAUACGCUGCUUUCUCUCUCUUUUCUGUUUCCUCAAAUUAAAAACCCUAAACACAAUCCAUGGAGAUGCCACAAGAUGAAGAUGUCGUAAGAUUAAGAUUGAAGACACCACAGUCUUCCCAUGAAGACCUUUCUAAUUUCCGAUUUUCAAAGCACAUCUCUCUCUAGAAUGCUCACAAACAAGCUUCGGUCAAUUCUUUUGAAAGAGUUUCAGUUUUAAUGAAAGGUACGAUGGUCAACUUCCGGUGGCAUAUCUUUGACAGCCGCAACAUUUAUGGACAACACUUCAUCCACAUUGCCUACAACCACAUGGUUAAAAACCUUUAAAAUAUAGGUAUGUUGUGAAGAAAGAGAGAUUCCAAUGAAGGUAUAUUCUUUAUUUAGUAAAUUUCGAUGUUACUUUUUCAUAUAUUUGUUGGGGCUUAAUUUAAGGAGAGAACUAAGGGAACCACAUAAACACCGUUAACUAUUGUUUUAACAGUGAUACAUAAGACGGGUAUGUAACCUUACAACCCACUCUCUUGCACCACGUAUAAGUGGUAAAGCGGUUCUCUAAUUGGUCAAACGUAUGCUUGACAUUGAUGUAUGAAUGCAUAUAACUUUCUAUGUUUUUCUUCUAGGUAAGAGGCAAUACUACGCACUAUGAUACUGUUGCUAAUACAGCUGCAUCUGGAGUCCUUUCAGCUGGCAUUAAUUCAGGUGUUCCGUGCAUAUUUGGAGUCUUCACAUGUGAAGAUAUGCAUCAGGCCUUGUUGGUGGUAAAGCAGGGAACAAGGGCUCUGAGGCAGCUUUGACUGCUCAAUAAUUAGGUUUAAGAAAAAGUGAGAUGUUACUAGAGAGGAGAGGAGUUUUUGCUGGUUCAGAUCUUUGAAUAAAGUUGUGGAUCAUAUCUUAAGGGGAUUGCUGUUGUUGCUCUUUUGAGUUGGGAACUCGCUUCUGACUCUUUAAUACUUUAAAGAAAAGUUUGAAGCUGCUGGUGUGAAGCUAAUGGCGAUUGAUAAAGUUAUAUGUUUUUAUCAAUAUUUCAUGUGUUGCUUCAAAGGCGUGAUGCUAAAUCUCAGCUUGGUUCAUAUCAGCUUCAUGUUCAUUUGUUUUGAUUAAGAUCAGUUUUUGAUUUGUUAUUUUAAUGUAGUAAGUUUUGAUUAUGAUUGGCUGUUGAUGAAGAGACUUAUUAGUUCUGGUUAUGAUUCUUGCAUUUGACGUGUUAAGUCGUGUAUAUU